AGAGUUUGAUCCUGGUUCAGGAUGAACGCUAGCGGCAGGCUUAAUACAUGCAAGUCGAGGGGCAGCGCGGGUAGCAAUACCUGGCGGCGACCGGCGCACGGGUGCGUAACGCGUAUGUAAUCUACCUUUAACCGGGGAAUAGCCCAGAGAAAUCUGGAUUAAUGCCCUAUAGUAUUAUUGAAAGGCAUCUUUCGAUAAUUAAAGCUCAGGCGGUUUUAGAUGAACAUGCGUGUCAUUAGUUUGUUGGCGAGGUAACGGCUCACCAAGACUACGAUGACUAGGGGGUCUGAGAGGAUGAUCCCCCACACUGGUACUGAGACACGGACCAGACUCCUACGGGAGGCAGCAGUAAGGAAUAUUGGGCAAUGGAGGCAACUCUGACCCAGCCAUGCCGCGUGAAGGAUGACGGCCCUCGUGGUUGUAAACUUCUUUUGUACGGGAAUAACCCUCCGAACGUGUUCGGAGCUGAAGGU
rnacentral:rRNA from 1 species